rnacentral:tRNA from 1 species
AAAGGGAGACCUAAUUCAGGUAGGAGACGAAAAAAAAGUAGUCCCUACCAAGAAUCAAUCCCAAAAGGUCGGAGCGAGGCAAAAUUGGCUUUCAAACUAGGUUCUGGGUUCACACAAGACCUGAAUCAGGAACAAGGGCUAUUAGCUCAGGUGGUUAGAGCGCACCCCUGAUAAGGGUGAGGUCCCUGGUUCGAGUCCAGGAUGGCCCACCUGCACAGGUGGCAAAAACAAGAGAAGCGAGGAAUCAGCACCUUAUCCUAAUUUAUAUAUAGGAGAGAAUGCUGGCUCUGAGUAAAGAGUCCAGAGGAACCUUGAAAACUGCAUAGAGCUAGGUGAAAAAGCCAAAAAAGAAGACCGCAAG